GCCCCCGUAUCCCAAUCGGCAGAGGACGCACCCUUAAAAGGCGCUCAGUGUGGGUUCGAGUCCCACCGGGGGCA
rnacentral:tRNA from 1 species